rnacentral:rRNA from 1 species
CCUACGGGAGGCAGCAGUGAGGAAUAUUGGUCAAUGGACGAGAGUCUGAACCAGCCAAGUAGCGUGAAGGAUGACUGCCCUAUGGGUUGUAAACUUCUUUUAUAUGGGAAUAAAAUGUUGCACGUGUGGGAUUUUGUAUGUACCAUAUGAAUAAGGAUCGGCUAACUCCGUGCCAGCAGCCGCGGUAAUACGGAGGAUCCGAGCGUUAUCCGGAUUUAUUGGGUUUAAAGGGAGCGUAGGUGGAUUGUUAAGUCAGUUGUGAAAGUUUGCGGCUCAACCGUAAAAUUGCAGUUGAUACUGGCAGUCUGGAGUACAGUAGAGGUGGGCGGAAUUCGUGGUGUAGCGGUGAAAUGCUUAGAUAUCACGAAGAACUCCGAUUGCGAAGGCAGCUCACUGGACUGCAACUGACGCUGAGGCUCGAAAGUGUGGGUAUCAAACAGGAUUAGAUACCCGAGUAGUC